rnacentral:misc_RNA from 1 species
CAUCUCAGAGGCAGAGUAAAAUCAUAGAUUGAGGCGGCAGUUCUAAGACAGUCCCAACAGCAGGUGGCACGUCAGCUGCAAGCCUCACAAGAAUGCGACUUCAUCUCACCAUAAUUUUCAUUUUCAUUGCCUCACAUAUUUCAAAUGGCAUUAGAUUCUAAGCUUUCUUUGCAGACUUGGAGCUUAUGCUGCUGUGUGCAGUUAUGUUAUACUUGUAACCAUAUGCAAAGAGUGUUAUUGGAU